AUUGAACGCUGGCGGCAUGCUUUACACAUGCAAGUCGAACGGUAACAGGUUAAGCUGACGGGUGGCGAACGGGUGAGUAAUGCAUCGGAACGUGCCCGGUCGUGGGGGAUAACGCAGCGAAAGCUGCGCUAAUACCGCAUACGAUCUGAGGAUGAAAGCGGGGGACCGUAAGGCCUCGCGCGAUCGGAGCGGCCGAUGUCAGAUUAGGUAGUUGGUGGGGUAAAGGCUCACCAAGCCGACGAUCUGUAGCUGGUCUGAGAGGACGACCAGCCACACUGGGACGGAGACACGGCCCAGACGCCUACGGGAGACAGCAGUGGGGAAUUUUGGACAAUGGGCGCAAGCCUGAUCCAGCAAUGCCGCGUGCAGGAAGAAGGCCUUCGGGUUGUAAACUGCUUUUGUACGGAGCGAAAAGGCUCUCUCUAAUACAGGGGGCUCAUGACGGUACCGUAAGAAUAAGCACCGGCUAACUACGUGCCAGCCGCCGCAGUAA
rnacentral:rRNA from 1 species